rnacentral:rRNA from 1 species
GGAGGAAUGAAAAGCAAUAGCUGAUUGCAUUAAGAAAGUGGUCCCACUUUAUAUUAAAAACGUGAUGACUUUUUAAAUAAAUGGGUCCAUUUUUAUAUAAUAAUGUAGUUACUACUUGGUAGUUUAAAAUUCUAGAUAGAAUUAUGAUGAUGACAUUAUCUAUCUAUAAGUCUUGACCAAAAUACGUGCCAGCAGUCGCGGUAAUACGUAGAAGACAAGUGUUAUUCAUCUUUAUUAGGUUUAAAGAGUACCAAGACGGUUAAUAAAGCCCAAAACACAUGAACACAGGGGACACAUUAACUAGAGUUAUAUGAAAGGAAGCACUAAGGUACUGUUGAGUGUAGAGAUAAAAUUCUAUCAUACCAGAUAAACGGCACAGAUUUAUGCGAAGGCAUCUUCUUAUGUAAUAACUGACGUUGUAGGACGAAGGCUUUUGAAGUGAAGAGGAUUAGAUACCCUUGUAAUCUAAGCAGAAAAUGAUGAAUGUCAUAGGUUUAAUAAAAAUAAGCAGCAGAGACAGCAGAGACAGCAGGGUCUAUUCUAUUAUUGAGUCUAUAAAUGAAAGUGUAAGCAUUCCACCUCAAGAGUAAUUUGGCAACAUUGGAACUGAAAUCAUUAGACCGUUUCUGAAACCAGUAGUGAAGUAUGUUGUUUAAUUAGAUGAUACACAAAAAACCUUACCACAAUUUGAAUAUAUAUCAUUAAAGAUAUUUACAAGCGUUGCACGGCUGUCUUCAGUUAAUGUCGUGAGAUUUUGGUUAGUUCCAUAAAAUUAACGUAAACCCUCGUUUUAUUUAUAAAUAAAAUUUAGCAUGCUGUUUCGAAUAGAUUUGAGUAUAAGAAAAGGGACU